CCCGCCACACACCCUGGCAACCGGAUUUUAAACCAAUGUCUACUCCUGUGUAUGCGUUCUUCCCAGGAGUUGUGGUCCUACCAGUCUGUCUCUGCUCUUUCCUGUCUACAGCUCUUAUCAUUUCUGCUCCUCCCUUCUAACUGGUUCUGAUCUGGUUCAGGGUGCUGGUCCCUGAGCACUUGGACCGGCCCCUGAAAUCAAUACUCGUGGUUCCGCGUGGGAACCCACCCCUGAUCCGCCCUCUCCGGGCUGAGGUGGCUACUGGGGCUGCGGCCGUUUCCGGGACUUCGAGUUGCUGCUGCACAGCUUUCUACCUUGCCGGACUGCCCCUAGUCAACUUCUGCGAGACUGACCUAGAGACCGCAUCCUGCAAGUCAUAAGUGGAACUAUUUGUAAGCAGACUGGGUCCACUGAAAUCUGCCUAUGAAUAUAAUAGGAGCAUACAAGAGUUGGAAGUCUGUGACUGUGGAAGAAUGUUUCAACAUAGAACUGAAGGAUGGACCAACUGAUAAUUCAAUGAUUGGAGUUAUGAGAAAGCACACAGAGUGGAAGAAGAAGCCCAAGAGAAGUUUGGUUAGAAGCUGUUUACAGAGAUGUGUUCAGGUCCCAAGGAAUAGAAUGUUGCCAUCAGUCUUCCUGGGUCAAGGAAUGCAAAUUGUGAUGAUGACAUUUAUUACUUUAUAAUUGUCUUUGCUGACCUCUUCAUUAUGAAUCUAAUUCUUUGGGUGGAAGAAUCAUUAGCUGCCAUCUCCUUUGAUACUCUGAUAAGUAUCUUUGCAAUAUGAUUUGGGAUUUUAGUAUCACAGACAUUUUUGGUGCAUACUUUGAUUUUUUUGUGGGGGGAGUUCCUGGGUAUUGAACCUAGGGGUGCUUAACCACUGAGCCACAUUCCUAGCCUUUUUAUAUUUUAUUUAGAGACAAGGUCUUGCUGCAUUGCUUAGGGCCUCACUAAGUUGCUGAGGCUGGCUUUGAUCUCAUAAUCCUCCUGACUCAGCCUCCUGAGCUGCUGGGAUUACAGAUGUCCAUGUCACCCAACCAUAUCCUGUGGCAGAUUCCUGAACAGAGCUUCUUCACAAAACCAUUUCUUGGCAUUGUAAUUGGUGGCAUUUUAUCCUUUGGCUGUAUUUUUAUUGAACUUUUUCAUUAAGAAAAGUAUUUGUGGCCUUCCAUGGGCAGUUUCAUUUAUGAUUCCUCUGCCAAAAUCAUUUUGAAGGCCAUUGAGUGGGUCCUCAUGUGUACUGAGCUGUAAGUAAUGGUUUUCUGUCUUUUUCCUUUCUGUCAACUGUUAGUUCUGGUGUCAGGAUGCCUGCUCCUAUACCUUUCCUCUUUGUUACUUUUAAUCUCUUAUAAUUCAAGAAUUCUAAUAACAAAAUAGUUAGAAAUGCACUUAAGUGAAUAAAUAAUGCUCUUUGAUUGAAGUGCAAUGGCUUUAGUACCCCAGCUUUGUAAUGACUCUUUCAGUUGUUCUGCAUUCUUUUUUUAAGAUUUCCUGAUUCUUGACUGCAUUCUGGUUCUGGGAACUGGCCAAUUGGGGUGUUACCAUGGAGGGAUUUUUGGAGAUGGACAAAGGCAUCAUGAAGUAAAAUGCAAUAGCCAACUGUGUGUUUUUGUAACACUUUUGUCAAACAAAACUGUCAAGUCUUCAAAAAUCAGGUUUAAUCAUGUUCAUUAAGUACUCACUUUUUAAAUAGCAUUAUGACAAAUUUGUUUGAAAGAUAAACAAUAAAAUCUGUUACCUUGUCAGCAACUAAAUAUUUAACAUGCUGCAGAAUAGAUUACAGUAACCAUAUUUUCCAGAUGUUUUUUGAUGAGAAAGUAAUUUUAAAGCGAAAACUAAAAGGUUCUUUCAACGAAUUUUCAUUUCAGUGAAGAGCACUGUGUACAACCUAUAUAUAUUUAUACAAAAGACUGUUGUGUACAACUUUGUAUAUAUUUACUAUCUAUAGUGAUAACUGUUCCCAACCAUAUACACCAUUCUCACACCCAAGUAUAUAUUUUAUGUGGUACUUUAAAAUCAAAUUUUAGCUCUAUAGUAGUGAAAGGAAUUACCUCAUUCUUUCAACAUUUGACCAAAAUAUAAUCCACACAGAGAUUUUUUUUAAAAUAUGCAUAUUAAAAAGUAUAUUUAAUAGAAUUAUGUGUACUGUGCUAUGAAGACAUUUGGAAAGGCUGCAUGUCAAUAGAUAUUCAAAGACAAAGUGGCGGGGCUGGAGAUGUGGCUCAAGCGGUAGCGCGCUCGCCUGGCAUGCGUGCGGCCCGGGUUCGAUCCUCAGCACCACAUACAAACAAAGAUGUUGUGUCCGCCGAAAACUAAAAAAUAAAUAUUAAAAAAAAUUUAUUAAAAAAAAAAGACAAAGUGGCAUUUGAUUCUGUUUUUUUUCUGUUGUAUAAUGUAGCUGCUGGUGUGUUUGGCAUUUACAACCUUCCGUUUCUGAAGAGAAAUUAUUUUUAAAUAUGUAUAGAUGACAUAUGAAUGUUAACCCAUAAAAAGGGAGGGUAAGGAGGCAAAGUAUAGAAGUUUAUUGGGUUAGACAAAGGAGAAUGAAGGGAAGGGAGAGCAAAUGGGAAUGGGAAAGACAGUAGAAUGAAUCAGCCAUAGCUUUCCUAUGCUCAUCCAUGAAUCCAUCAUGAGUGAAACUCCAUAUCAUGUACAACCAAAAUAAUGGGAUCCUAAUUAGAAUGGGUUGUACUCUAUGUAUGUAUAAUAUGGCAAAGUAUACUCAACUGUCAUGUAUAUCUAAAAACAACAAAUAAAAAAGAAAAAUAUUUAUAGAGAAAAUUAUACAGCUAUUCUCAAGUGAGAAUGUAAUUAUAUGAGCAGAGAAACAUGGGUAAGUAGCAGCAUUGCUUCUGACUAGAGAAGAUAUGACCAACAUCUGUAGCUACAUAAGUAAGGGAAUAUAUUUUUGGUAUGAGAUUGAUAGAUGAAGGUUGGGAACAGAGAGUUAAAGGUUUAGGGGGAAAAAAGGUUUGAGAAGUAUGUGACAAUCUAUUGCAGAGAUUUGGGCUCAUCCAUGUAUAUUGAUAAAGUUUGUUUGAAACCUGUUGUUUCUGUUUUCAGGUCUCAUCAGUGAUAAUAUAUGUUUGGUUUUCUUAGUCUUAUAAAUUUUAAGAUUACUUGUUCAGAAGCUACAGCCUACUGUACUAUUUUUGUUUAUGUGCUGAGGUAAAGACAUAAGAAACCAGUGUGUCUUAAACUUUCUAAGUUUGUAUUAUUGAAGUUAGAAGUCUGGGUUUAGAAAUACAUAAGUUGAAAUACAUGUUAACUGCAUAGUUUCUGCAACUUGGGAUUGGUUUUAUAUUGUAUUUACCCAAUAACACUUUUUGACUUUGGUGUACCUAUGAAGUUAAUGCUGCCUUGGUGGAAAGUUUAAAUAGACAGUGAUUUCUCUCUGGCUGGUUACUAUAUGUGCUGCAUACUAUUCAGUUAACAUAAAAUAGGGGGCUGAUUUGAUAUUUAGACAUAUAAAAUAUCUGGUUCAAUAAUGUUUUCUUUUAAUAAUUAAAGUUUUCUUUGGAGCUUAGGGCAGGAUUGUAUUUUGUGGAAUUGAGGUUGUUGCUUUUUUAUUUCUUUCAUUUAUUACCAUGGAUAGUUCUUUUUACUCCAUCCUCAUUUUUUUCCUCCCUGAUUGUUACCGCUGUUGACCGUGACGAGUCCUUGCUUCCCCAAUGUUGAAGAAUAACACCCGAGAAGCACGCUGAGGCAAGAUCAGAGUAGAAAUUAGAAGUUUAUUAAAGGACAGCAGAAAAGACUUCUCCGGGAGGAAGAAGGGGACCCAAGAGGUGGAAUCCGUGAUUAUCAUUGGUGAUUGAGAGCCUCUUUUCAAGCAGUUUUACAGCUAUUUCUUUUAUGUAUGCAGUUCAUUAAUUCUUUACCAAACUUCAAAUCAUGAGCAUUGCAAGCACCAUUUUGUACUCUGGGUACACAAUGAUCAUAAUGCUGAUUUUCUUCUUUUUCACAGAAUGGAGGAUGGAGUUGAGAGGAAAGCUGGAGGUUUUUCAGAUUAGAGAUGAAGAUACAGUGUCUAUGGAGAUGGACACACAGAUGGAGAAGAUGAAUUAAAAAGGAAUUGGAAUUUGCAAUUUUUUGUGACUGACAAGAUUUGGGUGCUAAAGGGAUAGGAUUUAAGGGACAGUUGGAUUUCCCCCCUGCUUCUUGUUUAUGACUACAGUCUUCAAUGUGGUGAAAGUGGAUUAAAGAGUUUCCCCCAAAGGCUUCCAGGCAUAUCAUCCUUGCCUUUGAAUAUCUGUAUCAACAUCAAUAGAGAUAUAUGUGUAUGCUCCUAAUUAUAUAAAUUUUAAUUAUAUAUAAAUGUAAAAAUCUCA